rnacentral:rRNA from 1 species
AUUGAACGCUGGCGGCAUGCCUUACACAUGCAAGUCGAACGGCAGCGGACCUUCGGGUGCCGGCGAGUGGCGAACGGGUGAGUAAUAUAUCGGAACGUACCUUUCAGUGGGGGAUAACGUAGCGAAAGUUACGCUAAUACCGCAUAUUCUGUGAGCAGGAAAGCAGGGGAUCGCAAGACCUUGCGCUGAUUGAGCGGCCGAUAUCAGAUUAGCUAGUUGGUGAGGUAAAGGCUCACCAAGGCGACGAUCUGUAGCGGGUCUGAGAGGAUGAUCCGCCACACUGGAACUGAGACACGGUCCAGACUCCUACGGGAGGCAGCAGUGGGGAAUUUUGGACAAUGGGCGCAAGCCUGAUCCAGCCAUGCCGCGUGAGUGAACGAAGGCCUC